rnacentral:misc_RNA from 1 species
UAGAGUUCUAAAACUCCCAACCCAUGUGAAUUUACCACUGUUGCCUCGGCGGAGCCUACCCUGUAGCACCUCGCGAGCUACCCUGUAGCGCUCCGCCGGCGGAUUUUUAAACUAUUGUUUUUAUGUUAUCUGAGCGUCUUAUUUUAAUAAGUCA